ACUCAGUUGUCACAAUGGAAAAUGAAAUUAAGUUUUUUAUUCCCUGACUAAAUCUUCCAUCUGGCAGCAAUUGUCAGGAAGGCAUGACAGUUUCAUUGCAUGUGUAAGUGAAUAUACAAGGGUUAACCAUUGCCUUUAAGCAGACAAAAGAAAGACAUUGCUGGCAUUUAUCAAGAGAAGACACACAGCACAGCCUUGCAUAAAUAAUGGCACUGGGCCAAGUACAGCUGAGGUGGUUGCCAGCACAACUCCAUUGAAGUCAGAGGAAUUGCACCAUGGGUAUUGCCUUCUGCCCCAUGUGGCCCCUUCCCUUCGAGACUACAAAGGUGUGUGUCAAAGAAGAGGGAGCAGGUAAUGACUGCUGCUCUGUCGUGGAGAAGCAAAGAAGGCCACUGUUCUGGCAUGUCUUGUACACGUUUUCUUUGAUAAGUCAUCAGAUUUUCUUGAUGUCAUUACUUGUUCCUACCAAUGGAUAUGUCUACUGACCGCUUAAUGAGGUUUUGAAUGACAGUCUCUGCAUCCUGAACAAAGGGUUUCAAGGGGAAAAAGAACCCAACCACGAGUGUCAAAUCAAGACAGACAUAAGCUUCUGACCUCUCCCAGCAGCAACAACAAAUGGCAGCAAAAUAGAAACUUCAGAGUGCUUUUUCACCCACUGAUUCCCAUUUCCAGGU